rnacentral:tRNA from 1 species
UGGGAAUUGGUGUAACAGGUUAGCACAUGGGCCUUUGACUCCCAUAGAGCCAGGUUCAAGUCCUGCAUUCCCUGCCA